rnacentral:rRNA from 1 species
GACGAACGCUGGCGGCGUGCCUAAUACAUGCAAGUAGGACGCACAGUUUAUACCGUAGCUUGCUACACCAUAGACUGUGAGUUGCGAACGGGUGAGUAACGCGUAGGUAACCUGCCUAUUAGAGGGGGAUAACUAUUGGAAACGAUAGCCAAUACCGCAUAACAGUAUGUAACACAUGUUAGAUGCUUGAAAGAUGCAAUUGCAUCGCUAGUAGAUGGACCUGCGUUGUAUUAGCUAGUAGGUAGGGUAAAGGCCUACCUAGGCAACGAUACAUAGCCGACCUGAGAGGGUGAUCGGCCACACUGGGACUGAGACACGGCCCAGACUCCUACGGGAGGCAGCAGUAGGGAAUCUUCGGCAAUGGGGGGAACCCAGACCGAGCAACGCCGCGUGAGUGAAGAAGGUUUUCGGAUCGUAAAGCUCUGUUGUUAAGGAAGAACGAGUGUGAGAAUGGAAGGUUCAUGCUGUGACGGUACUUAACCAGAAAGGGACGGCUAACUACGUGCCAGCAGCCGCCGUAA